rnacentral:lncRNA from 1 species
CUUUAUUCAUUAUACCAUGCAUUUACACAUUUACAAAAUUUAUUUGGUACCUUCCAAUGUGCAAAUGCUGUAUCCUUUGGAACUGCAAUUUGUACAUGUUGCUUGUUUGAUGUGUGAAAUACAAAGAUAGCAGAACUCUCCAUGGCCCUCAUCCUAGUGCUUCCUCCUUCAUCAUUCCUGUGCGUCUCAGAGGAUUUGGCCAAGACCUCUGGAAGCCGUGCCCUCCCAGCUACAUGCAAUGUUGAUGUUCUGAUAUAUUUGCCAAGACUUAAGUUUAUACUCAAUAAUUUCCUCUCCAGUUGCCUCUUGCACUUAUCAAUGGGACUGAAACACAACGUGAAGACUGCUGUCGAUCUUGAAGUUUCUGCAAAGAAGUAUGCACCCGAAGCCUCUUUGUGCAUGAAGACAUCAUACCGUUCUUCUCCAUUUUGAUCGCCUCCUUCAGCGUGCUCCAUGGUUCCGCAGACAGGGCACAGUGGGAGCGGAAGUGAAUCCCACGGAGCGCCUGCGCCCUACCUUCUCCAGGCCAAGAGGCGGAAGUGUUACCAGGUCACCCCACCUUUGACCUCUUCUUACCUCCCGUUAUUCCAGAGAGGGGAGUUAGGCAGAGGGAGAAAGAGCAAAUGGCGAGGUGGCUAAGGCUGCUCUUCUUAUGAUUCAAGAAAAAGUAGCAUUUAACUUUGGAAAAAGAAACCAACUCCUAACGGGAGGAGGAGGGGAAGCACAGGCGCAGUAGUACCUGAAGGAAUAAAAUGGAGGCCGGUAAGGUAGCCAGCUUGCUCUUAAAGGCUUUUUGAACAAUGAAAUGCUCUGCUUUUUUGAGGUGAAUGCCCAUACAUAAUAUUAAUUCUUCAAAUAGAGAUGGCAUAGCUUCUUGUCAGAGGUGCUAUAGAUCUGGCUUCUCAAACUUUUCUGACAAAGUACCCCUAGUAGCGAAAAGAGUUAACUUUAUAACUCAGGAUACGAGAGAAAUGUUCUAAAUGCCAUCUAAAGCAAGACAUUUCUUUGAAUUCUUACACUUUUUUUUUUUUUUUUUUGGAGAUAGUUUCACUCUGUUGCCCGAGCUAGAGUGCCUGGCUCACAGCAACCUCAAACUCCAGAGCUCAAGCGAUUCUUCUGCCUCAGCCUCUCAAGUAGCUGGGACUACAGGCAUGCACCACCAUGCCCAGCUAAUUUUUUCUAUGUAUUUUUAGUUGGCAAAUUAAUUCCUUUCUAUUUUUUUAGUAGAGAUGGGGUCUCGCUGUUGCUCAGGCUGGUUUUGAACUCUUGACCUCCAGCCAUCCACCCGCCUAGGCCUCCCAGAGUGCUAGGAUUACAGGCGUAAGCCACCACACCCAUCCAGAAUUCUUGUACUUUAACAUAUGAAUAUAACUUUGUUUCAGAAUAUGUCCUUUUUAAUAAAAAUAUUGCUUUUAAUUACAUAAAUUAUUUGUAUUUCUCCCCAAAGUCUUUGAGUAAUAUUGAGUUCCCAGGAAGAUGUGUCUGGGUGUGUGCCCAAUUCUAUAGCACACUGCUUUAUCUGCCCUCAGUGUUGGUUCACUAGCUUAUGAUGCAUUGCAUAGAGAAACUCCUUUAUUUUAUUUUUUAAUUUUUUUUAGAAAGAGUCUUACUCUGUUGUCCAGGUUAAAGUGCUGUGGCAUCAGCUUAGCUCACAGCAACCUCAAACUCCUGGGCUCAAGUGGUCCUCCUGCCUCAGCCUCCUGUGUAGCUGGGACUACAGGCAUGAGCCACCGUUCCCGGCUAAUUUUUUCUAUUUUUUCGUUUUCCAGCUAACUUUUUUCUAUUUUCAGUAGAGAUGGGGUCUUGCUCUUGUUGAGACUGGUCUUCGACUCCUGCUCUCAAGUGAUUCUCCCGCCUUGGCCUCCUGGAGUGCUAGGAUUACAGGUAUGAGCCACUACGCCUGACCGAGAAACUCUUUUAUUGAGUGCAAGGUCAUCCACUAGGACUUGGA